GGUGCGCAGCCGCACACACUCCAGCAGCGUCUUCAGGCUGAUCUUGAUGAUGCCGGUCAGCACCGAUACCUGCAGGCAAGGAGAGGAGGCUGCUCUGGGACAGCAGGUGUUGGGGCUGAACACGUCGAUGCGUUCAGAGAACAGCUUCUGGAUGUUGCUCAAGAGAUUGGUGUCCAUUGGGGCACUGGAUGGGGGGAGACAAGCAGUCAGAGCCCACCCUGCACCCACAUCCUCCUUUGUCCAUUCCCCUGGGGUUACCCUGACCGGCCAGACCUGGGCGUGUAGCUGGGGGCGUAGCGGCCCUGCUGUCGAGAGCUGCUGUACACGGAGAAGGUCCUUUUGCUGGAGUCACUGCUCUGGGCCUUGCGGACACCCUCUUCGUACAGAAGACCCACCUGGUGGUGGAAGGAGGCACUCACUGUAAGGAGGCCAGAGCAAGGGGACCCUCUAGCCCACCAGGUGCCCAGGGUGAGGGCCAAGGACACUCUAAAUUACAAACUCUGGGGAGGCUGGGUGGCUCAGCGGAUUAAGCUUCUGACUUGGGGUUCAGGUCGUGGUCCCACAGUUUGUGGGUUCAGUCCCCACAUCAGACUCUCUGCUGUUGACACGGAGCCCCCUUCUGGUCCUCCCUCUGUCUGCCCCUCCCCCACUCAUGCUCCGUCUCUCUCAAAAAUAAAUAAGCAUUAAACAAAAUAAGAAUAAAAAUAAAUUACAAACUCA